rnacentral:misc_RNA from 1 species
GAUGAAGAACGUAGCGAAAUGCGAUAAGUAAUGUGAAUUGCAGAAUUCAGUGAAUCAUCGAAUCUUUGAACGCACCUUGCGCCCUUUGGCUAUUCUGAAGGGCAUGCCUGUUUGAGUAUCAUGAACACCUCAACACUCAUGGUUUGCCAUGAUGAGCUUGGACUUUGGGGGUCUUGCUGGCCUGUGGUCAGCUCCUCUCAAAUGGAUUAGCUUGCCAGUGUUUGGUGGCAUCACAGGUGUGAUAACUAUCUACGCUUGUGGUUUUCCACCAGGUAACCUUCAGCAAUGGGGGUUCGCUGGGGCUCAUAAAUGUCUCUCCUCAGUGAGGACAGCUCUUUGAACGUUUGAUCUCAAAUCAGGUAGGACUACCCGCUGAACUUAAGCAUAUCAAUAAGCGGAGGA